rnacentral:rRNA from 1 species
GACGAACGCUGGCGGCGUGCUUAACACAUGCAAGUCGAACGGAAAGGCCCUGCUUUUGUGGGGUGCUCGAGUGGCGAACGGGUGAGUAACACGUGAGUAACCUGCCCUUGACUUUGGGAUAACUUCAGGAAACUGGGGCUAAUACCGGAUAGGAGCACCUGCUGCAUGGUGGGGGUUGGAAAGUUUCGGCGGUUGGGGAUGGACUCGCGGCUUAUCAGCUUGUUGGUGGGGUAGUGGCUUACCAAGGCUUUGACGGGUAGCCGGCCUGAGAGGGUGACCGGCCACAUUGGGACUGAGAUACGGCCCAGACUCCUCCGGGAGGCAGCAGUGGGGAAUAUUGCACAAUGGGCGGAAGCCUGAUGCAGCAACGCCGCGUGCGGGAUGACGGCCUUCGGGUUGUAAACCGCUUUCGCCUGUGACGAAGCGUGAGUGACGGUAAUGGGUAAAGAAGCACCGGCUAACUACGUG